AGGUAGGAUAAGAACAGUGAAAUAGUGAUAACAACCGUUUGUUUUAAUCUGGUUUGAAGCAAUGCCAGUUCCUUGUGUUAUUUUUUCUUUUAUUAUUUAUAUUUUCUUCUGUUGGAUGCUAGAUCGUGAAAAACAAUUUAUUGAGGUUACGACGGUUGUAUUUUUGUGAUUCUAUUGUGCCGAAGCCUAGUAACCAUGAUGCACUCGACUAGCCAAUUUCCUCCACCAAAUUAUUGUUCGGAAUCCAUUACAAACAAGGUAUGUUUUUGAUUAAUUAUGUCGUUCGAAUUAGUACAUCAUUCAUAUAUUUUAAUUGAGAAAAAUAUAUUAAACUGUGGAAGUUCCAGGAAUGUUUCAAAUUUAUCGAGUUCUCUAUUUAAAAAUACAUAAAUAAUUAACUGAUCAAAUUAUACGCUUAAGCUAAUUUAAUACUUAUCGGUUCAUAUUAUGAAUAAUUAUAGUUUGAUUAUCUACUCACAUUAAUAUAUUUGUAUACACCUAUGAGGUAUCUAUUACUAAAGUAUUAUAUAGAUGCAUAUUUAUAAAAUCAAUUUUAAUUUAAAUAUGAACUGUUGAAUAGGUAUUAAGUGUUUUUACCCUGAUAGUUUAUGCUAAUGUUUAUAUAUACAAAUGUAAAACGUUGAAUCACAAAAUAUUAUGAUUUAUGAUUUAUAAAAACAAAUAUCUACUUAACACCCAUAUUUUAGUAAACUUAAAUGAUAAUAACAUUUACCAAAGAAAUACACAUUUUAUUAAGUAAGUACCGAAGUAGUUUUAUUAUGAAAUACCAAAUAACUAUAAUUUAAUAUUAUAUAUGUAU